CAGAGGUGCAAGCGUUAAUCGGAAUUACUGGGCGUAAAGCGCGCGUAGGUGGUUGUUAAGUUGGAUGUGAAAUCCCGGGCUCAACCUGGGAACUGCAUUCAAACUGACUGACUAGAGUAUGGUAGAGGUGGUGGAAUUUCCUGUGUAGCGGUGAAAUGCGUAGAUAUAGGAAGGAACACCAGUGGCGAAGGCGACCACCUGGACUAAUACUGACACUGAGGUGCGAAAGCGUGGGAGCAAACAGGAUU
rnacentral:rRNA from 1 species